rnacentral:rRNA from 1 species
AUGAACGCUAGCUACAGGCUUAACACAUGCAAGUCGAGGGGCAGCAUGAACUUAGCUUGCUAAGUUUGAUGGCGACCGGCGCACGGGUGAGUAACACGUAUCCAACCUGCCGAUGACUCGGGGAUAGCCUUUCGAAAGAAAGAUUAAUACCCGAUGGCAUAGUUCUUCCGCAUGGUAGAACUAUUAAAGAAUUUCGGUCAUCGAUGGGGAUGCGUUCCAUUAGGUUGUUGGCGGGGUAACGGCCCACCAAGCCUUCGAUGGAUAGGGGUUCUGAGAGGAAGGUCCCCCACAUUGGAACUGAGACACGGUCCAAACUCCUACGGGAGGCAGCAGUGAGGAAUAUUGGUCAAUGGACGAGAGUCUGAACCAGCCAAGUAGCGUGAAGGAUGACUGCCCUAUGGGUUGUAAACUUCUUUUAUACGGGAAUAAAGUGAGGCACGUGUGCCUUUUUGUAUGUACCGUAUGAAUAAGGAUCGGCUAACUCCGUGCCAGCAGCCGCGGUAAUACGGAGGAUCCGAGCGUUAUCCGGAUUUAUUGGGUUUAAAGGGAGCGUAGGCGGACGCUUAAGUCAGUUGUGAAAGUUUGCGGCUCAACCGUAAAAUUGCAGUUGAUACUGGGUGUCUUGAGUACAGUAGAGGCAGGCGGAAUUCGUGGUGUAGCGGUGAAAUGCUUAGAUAUCACGAAGAACUCCGAUUGCGAAGGCAGCCUGCUGGACUGUAACUGACGCUGAUGCUCGAAAGUGUGGGUAUCAAACAGGAUUAGAUACCCUGGUAGUCCACACAGUAAACGAUGAAUACUCGCUGUUUGCGAUAUACAGUAAGCGGCCAAGCGAAAGCGUUAAGUAUUCCACCUGGGGAGUACGCCGGCAACGGUGAAACUCAAAGGAAUUGACGGGGGCCCGCACAAGCAGUGGAGUAUGUGGUUUAAUUCGAAGCAACGCGAAGAACCUUACCAGGUCUUGACAUCGAUCUAAAGGCUCCAGAGAUGGAGAGAUAGUUAUAGAGAAGACAGGUGGUGCAUGGUUGUCGUCAGCUCGUGCCGUGAGGUGUCGGCUUAAGUGCCAUAACGAGCGCAACCCUUAUCGAUAGUUACCAUCAGGUUAUGCUGGGGACUCUGUCGAGACUGCCGUCGUAAGAUGUGAGGAAGGUGGGGAUGACGUCAAAUCAGCACGGCCCUUACGUCCGGGGCUACACACGUGUUACAAUGGGGGGUACAGAAGGCAGCUACACGGCGACGUGAUGCUAAUCCCGAAAGCCUCUCUCAGUUCGGAUUGGAGUCUGCAACCCGACUCCAUGAAGCUGGAUUCGCUAGUAAUCGCGCAUCAGCCACGGCGCGGUGAAUACGUUCCCGGGCCUUGUACACACCGCCCGUCAAGCCAUGAAAGCCGGGGGUACCUGAAGUGCGUAACCGCAAGGAGCGCCCUAGGGUAAAACUGGUGAUUGGGGCU